rnacentral:lncRNA from 1 species
AUGUGCCUCAGGAUCCUCCACGCCGGUAAAAACAGCCUUCACAGGUACCACACUCGCAGGGAUAGGCGUGUCGGUAAUCGCCUGAGCGAAAGGCAUAGGAAAAACGCGAGGCGGCGUUGACGGCGCGACCUCUUCAGCGACUGGACGCCCUCGCUGCUCCUGAAGAGCUUGACGCAGUUCUUCAGUCACUCUGCUAAGCUCAUCAUUCCUGGCCCGAGAGGCGACCAGGUCCUCGUGCAUUCUUGCCUGUUCUAUACGCG